UCAAGUGAAUAAGCGCAUACGGUGGAUGCCUUGGCAGUCAGAGGCGAUGAAAGACGUGGUAGCCUGCGAUAAGCUUCGGGGAGGUGGCAAACAACCUUUGAUCCGGAGAUCUCUGAAUGGGGGAACCCAGUCAGCAUAAGCUGAUUAUCAUACACUGAAUACAUAGGUGUAUGAGGCGAACCAGGGGAACUGAAACAUCUAAGUACCCUGAGGAAAAGAAAUCAACCGAGAUUCCCUUAGUAGUGGCGAGCGAACGGGGACUAGCCCUUAAGUUGAUUUGAGAUUAGCGGAACGCUCUGGAAAGUGCGGCCAUAGUGGGUGAUAGCCCUGUACGCGAAAAUCUCUUAUCAAUGAAAUCGAGUAGGACGGAGCACGAGAAACUUUGUCUGAAUAUGGGGGGACCAUCCUCCAAGGCUAAAUACUACUGACUGACCGAUAGUGAACUAGUACCGUGAGGGAAAGGCGAAAAGAACCCCGGAGAGGGGAGUGAAAUAGAUCCUGAAACCGUAUGCGUACAAGCAGUGGGAGCAGACUUGUUCUGUGACUGCGUACCUUUUGUAUAAUGGGUCAGCGACUUAUUUUCAGUGGCAAGCUUAACCGAAUAGGGGAGGCGUAGCGAAAGCGAGUCUUAAUAGGGCGACAGUCGCUGGGAAUAGACCCGAAACCGGGCGAUCUAUCCAUGGGCAGGUUGAAGGUUGGGUAACACUAACUGGAGGACCGAACCGACUACCGUUGAAAAGUUAGCGGAUGACCUGUGGAUCGGAGUGAAAGGCUAAUCAAGCUCGGAGAUAGCUGGUUCUCCUCGAAAGCUAUUUAGGUAGCGCCUCGUGUAUCACUGCUGGGGGUAGAGCACUGUUUCGGCUAGGGGGUCAUCCCGACUUACCAAACCGAUGCAAACUCCGAAUACCAGCAAGUGUCAGCACGGGAGACACACGGCGGGUGCUAACGUCCGUCGUGAAAAGGGAAACAACCCAGACCGUCAGCUAAGGUCCCAAAGUUAUGGUUAAGUGGGAAACGAUGUGGGAAGGCUUAGACAGCUAGGAGGUUGGCUUAGAAGCAGCCACCCUUUAAAGAAAGCGUAAUAGCUCACUAGUCGAGUCGGCCUGCGCGGAAGAUGUAACGGGGCUCAAACCAUACACCGAAGCUACGGGUUCAUCUUAGGAUGAGCGGUAGAGGAGCGUUCUGUAAGCCUGUGAAGGUCAAUUGAGAAGUUGGCUGGAGGUAUCAGAAGUGCGAAUGCUGACAUGAGUAACGACAAUGGGAGUGAAAAACUCCCACGCCGAAAGACCAAGGUUUCCUGCGCAACGUUAAUCGACGCAGGGUUAGUCGGUUCCUAAGGCGAGGCAGAAAUGCGUAGUCGAUGGCAAACAGGUUAAUAUUCCUGUACUUCUAGUUACUGCGAUGGAGGGACGGAGAAGGCUAGGCCAGCUUGGCGUUGGUUGUCCAAGUUUAAGGUGGUAGGCUUAAAUCUUAGGUAAAUCCGGGAUUUUUUAAGGCCGAGAGCUGAUGACGAGUUAUCUUUUAGAUGACGAAGUGGUUGAUGCCAUGCUUCCAGGAAAAGCUUCUAAGCUUCAGGUAACUAGGAACCGUACCCCAAACCGACACAGGUGGUUGGGUAGAGAAUACCAAGGCGCUUGAGAGAACUCGGGUGAAGGAACUAGGCAAAAUGGCACCGUAACUUCGGGAGAAGGUGCGCCGGUGAGGGUGAAGUAUUUACUACGUAAGCCCAUGCCGGUCGAAGAUACCAGGCCGCUGCGACUGUUUAUUAAAAACACAGCACUCUGCAAACACGAAAGUGGACGUAUAGGGUGUGACGCCUGCCCGGUGCCGGAAGGUUAAUUGAUGGGGUUAGCUAACGCGAAGCUCUUGAUCGAAGCCCCGGUAAACGGCGGCCGUAACUAUAACGGUCCUAAGGUAGCGAAAUUCCUUGUCGGGUAAGUUCCGACCUGCACGAAUGGCGUAACGAUGGCGGCGCUGUCUCCACCCGAGACUCAGUGAAAUUGAAAUCGCUGUGAAGAUGCAGUGUAUCCGCGGCUAGACGGA
rnacentral:rRNA from 1 species